GCGAACAAACAAUGUAAAAUAAAAUGAUAAAAAAAUAUGGCACCGAUCGCUAAUUUGCUUGAUACGCAGCCCAUCUGCCUAUUUCCUAGAUUCUUAACGCGCUUGCAGAAAGUUACGUUCCUAAAUUUUCUCGUUUAGAACUGUGCGCCACAUGCACUACUGUGGAUGUAAAACAUGCAAUUUUUUAAAACAGAAUUGUUUGGAAAAGUACUUUUCAAUGCUAUGUCUGAAAGCAGCUUAAUUGCCGCAACAAAAGGGAGAUUGUUUUACAUGGAAAAAUCUG